rnacentral:tRNA from 1 species
AUUUAAAUAAUUUAAUUAAAAUAUUGAUUUGUGGAGUCAAAAAUAUGAGAAGAUAAUUCAUUUUAAAUC